rnacentral:rRNA from 1 species
UACAGAGGUGCCAAGCGUUAUGCGGAAUCACUGGGCUUAAAGCGUGUGUAGGCGGAUUUGUAAGUACCUUGUGAAAUCCCACGGCUCAACCGUGGAACUGCUCGGUAUACUGCUUAUCUUGAGCCACUUAGGGGCUACCGGAACAAAUGGUGGAGCGGUGAAAUGCGUAGAUAUCAUUUGGAACGCCAAUGGUGAAAACAGGUAGCUGGGAGUGUGCUGACGCUGAGACACGAAAGCCAGGGGAGCAAACGGG